AUUGAACGCUGGCGGCAGGCCUAACACAUGCAAGUCGAACGAGUGGCGGACGGGUGAGUAAUGUCUUGGAAACUGCCCGAUGGAGGGGGAUAACUACUGGAAACGGUAGCUAAUACCGCAUACCAUCGGAUGUGCCCAGAGGGGAUUAGCUAGUAGGUGGGGUAACGGCUCACCUAGGCGACGAUGCCUAGCUGGUCUGAGAGGAUGACCAGCCACACUGGAAAUGAGAAACGGGCCAGACUCCUACGGGAGGCAGCAGGGGGGAAUAUUGCACAAUGGGCGGAAGCCUGAUGCAGCCAUGCCGCGGUGAUGAAGAAGGCCUUCGGGUUGGAAAGUACUUUCAGCGAGGAGGCGGUACUCGCAGAAGAAGCACCGGCUAACUCAGGGCCAGCAGCCGCGGUAAUAC
rnacentral:rRNA from 1 species